UAUUUGUCGCAUGUAGACAGCAACGCGGGGGGCCGUGAAAUGAAAUCUUUUACUUUUGGCUCUUACAAAAUAUAUGGCCUGGAUACAGGCUCGAAACCGAGUGCUAGGGAGGAGUGGAGUGCUAGAUGCACACAGGGUCUCUGGCUGUGGCUGUAACUCGAACUCGAACGGGAAUGUCAUUUACCACAUAGGAAUCGUAUAUACAUAUAUGUAUGUACUUUGGCCUCGGAUUGCAGUGAUACGAGCAGCAUGAUAAGCACUCCCUGCUUCUCUCUUUUUCGGCCCAUUCGAAAAGUUACUUUUGGGCUCACUCCCCCAAUAGGACGAAACAAUUGUGUACAGGUACUGUACAUACAUCAGAUAAAGAAGACCUUACUUAUGGGUAUAUUUUACAAGUCAAUCCCUUUGCCUUUUGGCGGGAAGAACCGUUUCGUUUCCUCGAUGAAUGCACUUAAAAAUUGUACUUGAACUACGCGAGUAACGAAAACUGUUAUCGCAACUUAACCACUACUCUUUUAUCUAGGCUUAAGCAAACUGUUUCGAUGGGUCAACGAGGAGGACGGGACCCAGUUACUUGGAACUUCUGGACUUUGUUGCUGGCUUCAUCGAAACUUUCGAUGUGGGUCUCGAUGAUUGUUUCGAUUUUGUUAUAGCUGCAGGUUUGUCUUUGGCGGACCCUGUUGUAUGGGGUGGAGUUUUUGUGUCGCUUUGCUGCAUUUGAUGUGACAUGUUAAUAACAAUAAAUGACUAUUGUCUGAUACUCACCGAAAA